GUCUGUGGCCAUACCACCCUAAACGCACCCAAUCUCAUCUGAUCUCAGAAGCUAAGCAGGGUCGGGCCUGGUUAGUACUUGGAUAGGAGAAAUAACUUGGUUGUCCAAACA
ensembl:rRNA 5S_rRNA 5S ribosomal RNA